rnacentral:rRNA from 1 species
UCUGGAGACAGGUGCUGCAUGGCUGUCGUCAGCUCGUGUCGUGAGAUGUUGGGUUAAGUCCCGCAACGAGCGCAACCCUUGCCUUUAGUUGCCAGCAGUUCGGCUGGGCACUCUAAAGGGACUGCCGGUGUUAAACCGGAGGAAGGUGGGGAUGACGUCAAGUCCUCAUGGCCUUUAUGACCAGGGCUACACACGUACUACAAUGGCCGAUACAAAGGGCAGCGACACUGCGAGGUGAAGCCAAUCCCGUAAAAUCGGUCUCAGUCCGGAUUGGAGUCUGCAACUCGACUCCAUGAAGUUGGAAUCGCUAGUAAUCGUGGAUCAGCAUGCCACGGUGAAUACGUUCCCGGGCCUU